AAAGCCUCACAAGGAUGGAGGGGGGAACCUGCGCGUCUGUCUCCUCCUGUUGCUGCUGCAGCCAGGCAUGCACUGAUUUAUUCAAAUUACAGCAGAAGAUCAGCAGUGAGCUACUAAUGGAGUAAUUUACGUCUCCCUUCAUUCCCCUGAUGUUUGUAGCAGGAGAAAGGGUUGAGACAAUGCAAUGAAAAAGAAAAGAAGAAAAGCAGGGGAGAAGCAGGAAAGCAAAUGGAAGUGAAAUCCUGACUGAGGAACAGACUGACUCCUCUAGUAUGUGUACCAAAACUUCUGAUAUAUUUGCUGGGCUUCUGAGAGGAACAGAAUGGAGCCACUUUUCACCUCUGUGAAGCGGAGAUGAAACGGAAAGAAAAGCAAUGGGGAAGCUAAUAUGUUUUCUAUGCUGCAGCUGCUUCCCUGAACCUACAUCAUCACUGUUCUAGCUGAUAUGAAGUGCAGCACAGGCAGACUCUGCCAUUUCUUGUUUAUUGCUCUCUGAAGCAGGAUGAACUGCAUCUUCACUAUUUUCCAGAUUACCAGUGAGGUUUAGAUGAUGCUUCUUAGUCAGAUCAAAGAUGGAGAGAAUGGAGACAAGCUCAGCAGCAGCCUUGCUCAUCCAGCAUUCCCUUUCAACGCAACUAACAUCAGGCAACAGCGUGGCUUUUCUCACAGUGACCACACUUACAAGAAGCCUUUGCAACAGCUCUGAAGAGUGUCUCUUCCAGGAUGGCACAGCAGAAACAGCCCCUUUGAAAACAUGUUUGAAAGCAGAGAGUGAUGUGCCAUCAAGCUGAGCUCCUCACAAUACACCCAUCAAAGGAGCAGUUAGAGCAGCAAGAGCACAGGUGUUGUGAAGGCUUAACAUGACUGCAUGGACUCCCCAUGCUGUAAUUGCACUUGUCAAGGGACAUUAAAAAUUGUAUCCUGCUAUGAGACCCUGUGUGUGACUCUUAUUGCAGAGAAAGACUUUCAGGAAUGAGUAAGGAAUCAGAAUUGCUUUGAUAAAUAUGAUCAACAUUCUUCAUAAGACCUAAAAAACUACAUAUGAACUAGUAUAGGAUUUGUACUAGAUCACAAUCUAAAUGUAACUGAAAAUAUCUUUCAGAGAGACAAAGUUAACAAUGUGAUAUAUCAAUAGGAGCACAGAUUUCAAGAUGCAUCAGUACAUCCUUCUGGUCUUGACAGCCUUGAUAAAGCCUCUGCUGUAAACUUUUUCUACUUCCAGG